rnacentral:rRNA from 1 species
UACGGAGGGAGCUAGCGUUGUUCGGAAUUACUGGGCGUAAAGCGCACGUAGGCGGCUUUGUAAGUUAGAGGUGAAAGCCUGGGGCUCAACCCCAGAAUUGCCUUUAAGACUGCAUCGCUUGAAUCCAGGAGAGGUGAGUGGAAUUCCGAGUGUAGAGGUGAAAUUCGUAGAUAUUCGGAAGAACACCAGUGGCGAAGGCGGCUCACUGGACUGGUAUUGACGCUGAGGUGCGAAAGCGUGGGGAGCGAACAGG